GCUUUGACAGAGGGUACUUGGGAGAUGGGCUUUAUUUCAGAAAAGGGUGAGGAUUUGGGACAACUAAGCAAAAUUUGUUGCCCUUUAGUUCUAAAGGAAGCUAUCUAUGUUCCUGAACCUUAAGGAAUCGAAUCUCGUCUGGAGCUUCAGGCAGCACACAGACAUGGUGUUGUUGGAUAAUAUAUCAAGCAAGUACAACAGUGAAGAUAGAAGUGCAUUUGCUUUGGAAAUGAAGUUUUUGGAGAAAUGAGGGAUGCUUGAUGGAAACAGAGGCAGAAGGGUGCCCUAUGUAUGUGUCUUUUGUCAUAAAGAAACCAUGCAAAUGAGAA